CCCCUCUCAGGAUGGCACCUGGAGAGUUUCCAGUACUCUACCAGUCUCGACUGUGUGAGGGAGAGUCAAGCAGAGGCCUACCUAUUCCAUUCCUUGCUUGGCCAGUGGCUAGUGAGUCGCAGGCAAUCUGCUACAAGU